UAAGUUACUAAGAGCACACGGGGGAUGCCUAGGCUCUCAAAGGCGAAGAAAGACGUGAUAAGCUGCGAUAAGGUUCGGGGAGAAGCAAAUAUUUUGUGAUCCGGACAUUUCUGAAUGGGGAAACCCGUCUGGUUGAAGACCAGUCAUCCGAAAGGAGGCAAACGCACUGAACUGAAACAUCUAAGUAGGUGCAGGAAGAGAAAACAAUAGUGAUUUCCGUAGUAGCGGCGAGCGAAGUGGAAAUAGCCCAAACCGUUUUUGUUUCGGCAAAAUCGGGGUUGUAGGACUACAAUAUCCGUAAUAAAGUAUAGUGGAACAAGUUGGAAAGCUUGGCAAUAUGAGUGAUAGCCUCGUACACGAAAUGCUUUAGAAGGUAGUAGUAUCCUGAGUAGGGCGGGACAUGUGAAAUCCUGUCUGAAUCUGCCAGAACCAUCUGGUAAGGCUAAAUACUCUUGAGAGACCGAUAGCGAACUAGUACCGUGAGGGAAAGGUGAAAAGAACCCUGAACAAGGG
rnacentral:rRNA from 1 species